CAAGGCAGAAGAGAGGGGAAACCCUAGCUCAAGAAAUCAAGCAAUCCAAUCCAAGAUCAUAAGCUAAUUCAGUGCAUGAUCCAUAAAUUGUGAUUAGCUAACCCUAAUCUCUUAAGUGGCGUAAAGGAGGAAGGUACAAGCUCCAAGAAAACGGAAGGCGCGCAAGAUCGAGGUAAAACUCCACUAUAGGCGAUUUGGAGAUAUGGAGCGAGCACGUGUUCAAGCCUUAUUAUACCAAGCGCUUCCGCUAGUUUAUAUGCAUACUUUUGGGUCCACGUUUUGUCACUUUGUUAAAUCUUGUUAGAAGUCUU